rnacentral:rRNA from 1 species
AGAGUUUGAUCAUGGCUCAGAGUGAACGCUGGCGGCAGGCCUAACACAUGCAAGUCGAGCGGCAGCGCGGGGGUAACCCUGGCGGCGAGCGGCGGACGGGUGAGGAAUUCGUCGGAAUCUGCCUAUUUGUGGGGGAUAACGUAGGGAAACUUACGCUAAUACCGCAUACGACCUACGGGUGAAAGUGGGGGACCGCAAGGCCUCACGCAGAUAGAUGAGCCGACGACCGAUUAGCUAGUUGGUGGGGUAAAGGCUCACCAAGGCGACGAUCGGUAGCUGGUCUGAGAGGAUGAUCAGCCACACUGGGACUGAGACACAGCCCAGACUCCUACGGGAGGCAGCAGUGGGGAAUAUUGGACAAUGGGCGCAAGCCUGAUCCAGCCAUGCCGCGUGUGUGAAGAAGGCCUUCGGGUUGUAAAGCACUUUUGUCCGGAAAGAAAUCCUUCAACUUAAUACGUUGGGGGGAUGACGGUACCGGAAGAAUAAGCACCGGCUAACUUCGUGCCAGCAGCCGCGGUAAUACGAAGGGUGCAAGCGUUACUCGGAAUUACUGGGCGUAAAGCGUGCGUAGGCGGUCUGUUAAGUCUGAUGUGAAAUCCCCGGGCUCAACCUGGGACCUGCAUUGGAUACUGGCGGGCUAGAGUACGGUAGAGGGUGGUGGAAUUCCCGGUGUAGCAGUGAAAUGCGUAGAGAUCGGGAGGAACACUCGUGGCGAAGGCGGCCACCUGGACCAGUACUGACGCUGAGGCACGAAAGCGUGGGGAGCAAACAGGAUUAGAUACCCUGGUAGUCCACGCCCUAAACGAUGCGAACUGGAUGUUGGGCUCACUUCGGAGCUCAGUAUCGAAG